GCAAGAGAUAUUUUGGAAAGGGAGCAUUAGAAGGUGAUGAAAGAAUGGGGAUAAAUGUUGUAGGAAAGGGGAGGGGGGAUAUGGGGUGAUGUUUUCCCCUUUUCAUAUCCCCCUCUUUCUAUAACUGGCCCUUUAAGAGAAUGGGGCUCUCAGCCUUCCCUGUCUUAAAGGGGUGAAUGAUGUUCUAAGGACUGCAUAUAUAUACUGAUCCAAGGAUCCCAUAGCAUUGCCGUGUUCGUGGUGGCCCUGUGGUUUGGACUUCGUUUUCCAGAAUUCCUGUCCCUUGGACACACUGGCUAAGGCUUCUGGGAGUUUGAGUUCCAAGGGCCUUCUCGGUGGUGGCUCCUCGGUUGUGGAACUCCCUCCCCAGUGACAUCCGGCAGGCUCCAUCCUUUCUGAGUUUCAGAAAAAAGGUGAAGAUCUGGCUUUGCGAACAAGCGUUUAAUGAAUUAAUUAUGAUGGCUUUAACACGGUCCGGACUAAGGUUUACGUGCAAGGUUUAUGUGAACGAAUGGAUUAAGUAUUUUAUUAUACUGUUUUAAAUGUAUUUAUUGGAUUGUCUUAAAUUGAUUGUUUUAAUUGCUAUGUUUAUUUUUGUACUGUAUACCGGCAUCGAAUUUGCCAGAUUGUGAGCCGCCCUGAGUCCCUUCGGGUGAGAAGGGCGGCAUAUAAAUGAUGGA
rnacentral:lncRNA from 11 species